rnacentral:rRNA from 1 species
AUUGAACGCUGGCGGCAGGCCUAACACAUGCAAGUCGAGCGAGCGGCGGACGGGUGAGUAAUGUCUGGGAAACUGCCUGAUGAUGGGGGAUAACUACUGGAAACGGUAGCUAAUACCGCAUACCCUCAGAUGUGCCCAGAUGGGAUUAGCUAGUAGGUGGGGUAACGGCUGACCUAGGCGACGAUCCCUAGCUGGUCUGGGAGGAUGACCAGCGCCACUGGAACUGAGACACGUUCCAGACUCCUACGGUAGGCAGCAGUGGGGAAUAUUGCACAAUGGGCGCAAGCCUGAUGCAGCCAUGCAGCGUGUGUGAAGAAGGCCUUCGGGUAGUAAAGCACUUACAGCGGGGAGGCGUUACCCGCAGAAGAAGCACCGGCUAACUCCGUGCCAGCAGCCGCGGUAAUUC